AAACCACUAACACACAAGGGAAAAACGCAUAAAAUCACCCAUGACAACAGAAACAGGUAUGAAACCAAGAUCUAAUCUAAACAGCAUACCAAAACCCAAGCAAGAAAAAUGCAAAAUGGGUACAAAUUGAAAAGCAUAAACCAAGUCAAAGCAAACAACAAGUAAUGAACUUUGGUUUACCUUUGAAGAAAUGGAAACUUGAAGCUUGAAAUAGGC
rnacentral:lncRNA from 1 species